rnacentral:rRNA from 1 species
UACAGAGGCCCAUAGCGUUGUUCGGAUUUACUGGGCGUAAAGGGCGCGUAGGCGGCAGGGCGUGUCAAGUGUGAAAUCUCCGGGCCCAACCCGGAAAGUGCGCUUGAAACUACCCUGCUCGAGGCCGGGAGAGGGAAUCGGAAUAUAGGGUGUAGCGGUGAAAUGCGUUGAUAUCCUAUAGAACACCGGAGGCGAAGGCGGAUUCCUGGAACGGUACUGACGCUGAGGCGCGAAAGUCGGGGGAGCAAAC